rnacentral:rRNA from 1 species
UACAGAGGGUGCGAGCGUUAAUCGGAAUUACUGGGCGUAAAGCGCACGUAGGUGGCGACGUAAGUCGGGUGUGAAAGCCCCGGGCUCAACCUGGGAAUUGCAUUCGAGACUGCAUUGCUGGAGUACGGAAGAGGAGGGCGGAAUUCCCGGUGUAGCGGUGAAAUGCGUAGAUAUCCGGAGGAACCCCAGAGGCGAAGGCGGCAUCCUGGCCCAUUACCGACACUCAGACACGACAGCAUGGGGAGCGAACGGG